rnacentral:rRNA from 1 species
UACGUAGGGUGCGAGCGUUAAUCGGAAUUACUGGGCGUAAAGCGUGCGCAGGCGGUUUGUAAGCCAGAUGUGAAAUCCCCGGGCUUAACCUGGGAAUGGCAUUUGGGACUGCAAGGCUUGAGUGCGGCAGAGGAGACUGGAAUUCCUGGUGUAGCAGUGAAAUGCGUAGAUAUCAGGAGGAACACCGAUGGCGAAGGCAGGUCUCUGGGCCGAUACUGACGCUGAGGAGCGAAAGCGUGGGAGCGAACAGG